GUUCCUUUCUGAGUCUUAUCAGCAAGCCCAGGACAAGGGGUAUGCUUGGCAUAGCCAGCCUGAGAUUGCUACUGGCUCAGCUGUGACAGAGCACCCAGCAGGGCGCAGGAAGGCAGCGUCAGUGAGGAGGGCCUGAGCGUGUCAGAACUCUCCAUGAGCACUACGCUCCCUGGGAAUGCUUGUUAAAGGGGAGAAGUACUUCUGUCUGCAUCUAGUGAAGUCAGCCCUAAAGUAGAUGAAAUACUAAACUGCUCUGGCCAGAGAUUACGCAUCCUUAUGCUCCCAGGUAAUUCACUGCUUCCCUUUGGAAUGUUAUAUACUUGGGAAACCAAUAUUUGAGUCACAAACCGUAAGGAAUUUAGUUUUUGUUUACUAUUCGUUAUGUUAAUCUAAAACUAUGCUGUGCCCUUACAUUUCUCAGUGAUCAUAAAGGAAGAA